rnacentral:ncRNA from 1 species
UAGAGUAAAAGUCAAACCAUCUACGAGGAUGGGACGGAAAACCACGGGUCUUAACCAAAGAUAGCCGGGUUGCCUUG